rnacentral:rRNA from 1 species
GACGAACGCUGGCGGCGUGCUUAACACAUGCAAGUCGAACGGAGAGCGAUGGAAGCUUGCUUCUAUCAAUCUUAGUGGCGAACGGGUGAGUAACGCGUAAUCAACCUGCCCUUCAGAGGGGGACAACAGUUGGAAACGACUACUAAUACCGCAUACGAUCUAACCUCGGCAUCGAGGAUGGAUGAAAGGUGGCCUCUAUUUAUAAGCUAUCACUGAAGGAGGGGAUUGCGUCUGAUUAGCUAGUUGGAGGGGUAACGGCCCACCAAGGCGAUGAUCAGUAGCCGGUCUGAGAGGAUGAACGGCCACAUUGGGACUGAGACACGGCCCAGACUCCUACGGGAGGCAGCAGGGGGGAAUCUUCCGCAAUGGACGAAAGUCUGACGGAGCAACGCCGCGUGAGUGAUGACGGCCUUCGGGUUGUAAAGCUCUGUUAAUCGGGACGAAAGGCCUUCUUGCGAAUAGUUAGAAGGAUUGACGGUACCGGAAUAGAAAGCCACGGCUAACUACGUG